CGUAUAGGGUCUGACGCCUGCCCGGUGCCGGAAGGUUAAGGGAGAUGUGCAAGCAUCGAACUGAAGCCCCGGUAAACGGCGGCCGUAACUAUACGGUCCUAAGGUAGCGAAAUUCCUUGUCGGGUAAGUUCCGACCUGCACGAAUGGAGUAACGACUUGGGCGCUGUCUCAACCAUGGACUCGGCGAAAUUGCACUACGAGUAAAGAUGCUCGUUACGCGCGGCAGGACGGAAAGACCCCGGGACCUUUACUAUAGUUUGGUAUUGGUGUUAGGUACUGCUUGUGUAGGAUAGGUGGGAGACUGUGAAGAUCAGACGCCAGUUUGGUUGGAGUCAUCGUUGAAAUACCACUCUAGUAGUAUUUGAUGUCUAACCUAGGUCCGUCAUCCGGAUCAGGGACAGUGCCUG
rnacentral:rRNA from 1 species